UACGGAGGGAGCUAGCGUUAUUCGGAAUUACUGGGCGUAAAGCGUACGUAGGCGGUUAUUCCAGUCAGAGGUGAAAGCCCGGGGCUCAACCCCGGAACGGCCUUUGAAACUAGAUAACUAGAGUCUUGGAGAGGUUAGUGGAAUUCCGAGUGUAGAGGUGAAAGUCGUAGAGAUGCGGAAGAACACCAGUGGCGAAGGCGACUAACUGGACAAGUACUGACGCUGAGGUACGAAAGCGUGGGGAGCAAACAGG
rnacentral:rRNA from 1 species